AUGGCGUUAUCUGUUCACCUGAGGGAGAGAAUGAUAGGAUUCCAGCUUGAUCGAAUUCACACGGUAUUUUUCGUAGUCCAAGAAACAAGCCAUACAAUUUAUAGUCUCCAUGCAAGUCCCAUGUCUUUUUUAUUUUUCAGUAAAAAGUCACCAUGGCGUUUUGUGCUAAUAUUUUUUGUUUAUUUUUGGAUCAAUGUACAGGUGUUUUUACCUUUAAGCUCAUACGGUUUCUGGUACACAGUUGUUGCUAACUUUAGGAAAAAAAUGUUCGAAGUCCUCUGCCCAAACAACAGAACCGACUUGAUUGCUGACGAAGCUCAGCUUGUAAUCAAGAAUUUCAAAGCUUCUUUCAGGCUGGCAUACAACAGAUCACAAGUAAAUGUGACUGACAUGGGCGUGUCUUUCUGGAGUGUGUGCUCUUCAAAAUAA
rnacentral:rRNA from 1 species